rnacentral:sRNA from 4 species
UGUAUCUGAAGCCUGACGAGGAUGAGAACCUCCGGGGGCAAGAGGUGCGACCCGAGCGAAGCGAGAGAACGUUGCGCCAGCAACGGCCCGCAGGGCGAGCCACGCAGUGGCGAGUCAUCCUCUAUCACCGACCA